ACUUAGCAGUUUUACACUGUUCAUAUCCAACGUUUAACCGCUCGUCUUAUUUGAAAUUUUUUAUGAUUAGUAUUUUUAUUGUUAUUAAAUGAUAAAAUAUGAAUAGUACUUUAUGUGUGACUAAUUUUUUAUAAUUUUUUUCAAAUAAGAUGGACGGGCAAACGUUGGACACGGAUACCCACUUAUU
rfam:Oryza punctata chromosome 2, whole genome shotgun sequence.